CUCAGUGCUAAAUAGUGACUCAGCUGCCCCACCCUAUAAGCAGCAAACUACUGAUGCUCAAGAAGGCCCACUUUAAGGACACUGAUCAGUGGUGGUGGGGGGAGUCAUUUUAAAGGACACAAGGAAAUUCUCAGUCUUCAGCUAGUCUCACUCAACAGAUGGGCUUGAUUAGCAGUGAUGAGCUACUGCCAGUUUGAUUGGGAAUAGUGAUGGGAUACGACCUACUAUCAGGACCCCUGUGAAUCAGAUACAGCCCAGUCCAGGUACUCCUAAAAGCCACUGGAUUUCUUUUUCUCACCUGAUUCAACUACUCAGAACCACCACUACAGUGUUCAAGGAGCUGGAUGCAGUGGCACAUGCCUGUAAUCCCAGCAGAAGAUAGAGGCAGGAGGAUCAGAAGUUUGUGG